rnacentral:rRNA from 1 species
AUGGUGUUUUUUGUGCCGAAAAAAGGCGUGUUGUGUCUCUCAGGAAAUAGAAUGUUGGCUUUGUGCACACAAGCAGGGUCAGGAUGUGUACCAAUCCUACAGAGUGUGAGACUGUCAAUUAGAGGUUUUGCGGAGACGAGCAAUAAGGAAGUUGUGAAGCCAGAGUUGGGAACAAAUUUUGACUCGUUGACGGAGGUGUAUGACUUCUACAACCUAUAUUCCUGGGAACAUGGUUUUGAAAUCCGAUACGGGGAAAGCAGGCUGAACCCAGAGAAAAAGGAAGACCAUGCAGGAAAUUGUGUGUGCAGAUGCUCGGGGAAGCUAUUAUGA